rnacentral:rRNA from 1 species
UGCAGUCGAACGGCAGCACGGGGGCAACCCUGGUGGCGAGUGGCGAACGGGUGAGUAACAUAUCGGAACGUGCCCUGGAGUGGGGGAUAACUAGUCGAAAGAUUAGCUAAUACCGCAUACGAUCUAUGGAUGAAAGUGGGGGAUCGCAAGACCUCAUGCUCGUGGAGCGGCCGAUAUCUGAUUAGCUAGUUGGUGGGGUAAAGGCCUACCAAGGCAUCGAUCAGUAGCUGGUCUGAGAGGACGACCAGCCACACUGGGACUGAGACACGGCCCAGACUCCUACGGGAGGCAGCAGUGGGGAAUUUUGGACAAUGGGCGCAAGCCUGAUCCAGCAAUGCCGCGUGAGUGAAGAAGGCCUUCGGGUUGUAAAGCUCUUUUGUCAGGGAAGAAACGGUGGAGGUUAAUACCUUCUGCUAAUGACGGUACCUGAAGAAUAAGCACCGGCUAACUACGUGCCAGCAGCCGCGGUAAUACGUAGGGUGCAAGCGUUAAUCGGAAUUACUGGGCGUAAAGCGUGCGCAGGCGGUUGUGCAAGACAGAUGUGAAAUCCCCGGGCUCAACCUGGGAAUUGCAUUUGUGACUGUACGGCUAGAGUGUGUCAGAGGGGGGUAGAAUUCCACGUGUAGCAGUGAAAUGCGUAGAGAUGUGGAGGAAUACCGAUGGCGAAGGCAGCCCCCUGGGAUAACACUGACGCUCAUGCACGAAAGCGUGGGGAGCAAACGGGAUUAGAUACCCUGGUAGUCCACGCCCUAAACGAUGUCUACUAGUUGUCGGGUCUUUAUUGACUUGGUAACGCAGCUAACGCGUGAAGUAGACCGCCUGGGGAGUACGGUCGCAAGAUUAAAACUCAAAGGAAUUGACGGGGACCCGCACAAGCGGNGGAU